GUGGGGAAUAUUGGACAAUGGGGGGAACCCUGAUCCAGCCAUGCCGCGUGUGUGAAGAAGGCCUUUUGGUUGUAAAGCACUUUAAGUGGGGAGGAGGCUUACCUGGUUAAUACCUGGGCUAAGUGGACGUUACCCACAGAAUAAGCACCGGCUAACUCUGUGCCAGCAGCCGCGGUAAUACAGAGGGUGCGAGCGUUAAUCGGAUUUACUGGGCGUAAAGCGCGCGUAGGUGGUUAAUUAAGUCAAAUGUGAAAUCCCCGAGCUUAACUUGGGAAUUGCAUUCGAUACUGGUUAGCUAGAGUAUGGGAGAGGAUGGUAGAAUUCCAGGUGUAGCGGUGAAAUGCGUAGAGAUCUGGAGGAAUACCGAUGGCGAAGGCAGCCAUCUGGCCUAAUACUGACACUGAGGUGCGAAAGCGUGGGGGGCAAACAGGAUUAGAUACCCGGGUAGUCC
rnacentral:rRNA from 1 species